rnacentral:rRNA from 1 species
GACGAACGCUGGCGGCGUGCUUAACACAUGCAAGUCGAACGGAAAGGCCUCUUUCGGGGGGUACUCGAGUGGCGAACGGGUGAGUAACACGUGAGUAACCUGCCCUUGACUUUGGGAUAACUCCAGGAAACUGGGGCUAAUACCGGAUAGGAGCUCCUGCUGCAUGGUGGGGGUUGGAAAGUUUCGGCGGUUGGGGAUGGACUCGCGGCUUAUCAGCUUGUUGGUGGGGUAGUGGCUUACCAAGGCUUUGACGGGUAGCCGGCCUGAGAGGGUGACCGGCCACAUUGGGACUGAGAUACGGCCCAGACUCCUACGGGAGGCAGCAGUGGGGAAUAUUGCACAAUGGGUGGGAGCCUGAUGCAGCAACGCCGGGGGCGGGAGGACGGCCUUCGGGUUGUAAACCGCUUUCGCUCAUGACGAAGCUUUGUGUGACGGUAGUGGGUAAAGAAGCACCGGCUAACUACGUG